AUGGAGUAGGAUUGUUCUGUGUUGUUCCAAAAAGCAAGACAAAGAACUAAUGGAUGAAAAAUGUAGAGAAGCAGAUUUUGCUGUAGCAUUAGGAGAAGCUCCCUAAUGGUAAGAGACUGUCUCAGGAGGUGGUGGGCUCUCCUUUGCUGGAAGUAUUUAAGCAGAAGUGGACUGCCAUCUGUUACGGUCAGUGUAGCUGAAUCCUGCAUUGAGAAUUCAUGUUAAAUUAGAUGACCUCCAAGAUCCCUUUCAAGGCUGUGAUUCUAUAACAUAUACAGUCAACAGGCAAUGAUCAUGCCCUUAACAGGAGGAGCCAUAAAGCAGUGGUACAGAACAUGGCUUUCAUGAAGAAGGCUCCGUGUUCAAUUGUUGGAAUCCCAUCUAAAAAAGGAUGGGAUGAUGGAAAACACAUUCUGCCCAGAGAACUGCUGCAAGAGUAGUAGGCCAUACUGGGCUAGAUGGUCAAAUAGUCCAACCUUGUCUAAGGCAGCUGCUUAUAUGGAACUAUGUACCUUACUGUAAAACUGGUUGUUGUUUUUAAGGUUGUAAGCAUUGUCCAAUUUGAUGCUUGACAGAUGCUUUUGACUACAACUCUCAUCAUCAUCAUCAUCAUCAUCAUCAUCAAUGUGUACCCCGCCCAUCUGGCUGGCUUUCCACAGCCACUCUGGGUGGCUUCCACAAAGACCAAAAAUACACUAAGAUGUCACACAUUAAAAACUUCCCUGAACAGGGCUGCCUUAAGAUGUCUUUGAAUGUCAGGUAGUUGUUUAUCUCUUUGACAUCUGAUGGGAGGGCGUUCCAGGUCAUCCCCCGUCUGUGUGAGUAGUGGUCAGGGAUGAUGGGAGUUGUGGUCCAAACUUUCUGGAGGGGACCAGGAUGGGAGAUAUUAAAAAAUGAUCAAGUAGAUGCAUUCCUAGCAGGAAAAUUCUGUUAGGCUCCAGUUGUUUCCAAGUUUAAAGGACUGAGUGUGUUUCGUACAAGCUUUUCCAGUUAACUCAGAAUUACUGUAAUUACUAGAGAGAACACGAAGGGCCUCUACAUUUAUAAGCAAGCUAAUUUCUUCCAUUUCAACUACUGAACAGCUGAUCAUCAUGGUGCAGCAUCUUCCUGCAAAACAAGCCAGCCCUAUUCAAUGAUAACUUCUUGUUUAUUUUGUGUUUUCUUAUUAUCUGAGGCCAAGGUGACAUAACAGAAGGUGCCUGCCUUUUCCUCCCAAAUAAAGAAAGGAUUUUGCAUCCAACAAAGAGGGUGGGGGGGGAACUGCAAGGCUGGUGUACUGAGUUUGCCAAUUAAAUCCAAGGGAAGGAGAGAGUCUGAGAUACAAUUACGGCUUUCUGUAAAUUACUUCAUGUAAUUAAAUCUGCUUCCCUAAAUUACAAACCAUUUAGCUCUUCUUUUAUAAUAAUGUAAGCAAUGACCAACAACAACCUUUUUAUGGAGCCUGAUGUCAUAAAAGUUGUUAGCAACAAAAUUUUCUGUCUCCUCAUUUCAAAGCAGUCAUUGUAAUGAGAUCCAUUUUAUGUCUACACAGAAAGCUGCUUGGAGGAUGAGAGGGAGAGAGAGCACUUUGUUCUUCAAGACAUUGCUCCAGGGCUGGGACCGUAUUUGACGAACCACGGCCUGUUUGGAGUUUGCUACUGAUCAGCUAAUGAGCAGGCACGGGUGUUAAAGGUGUUUUGCAAAAGAGGUUUCGUCAAAAGGAAGCUUUUAUUUUAUUUUAUUUAUUUUAUUUUAUUUUAUUUUUGUGCAGUGUAACAGAGGUUCAACAACUCUUCUCUCCUCCUAUUCACAAAAUUGAUGGCUCACAAUUUUGAAUUGAAUCUGGAAGAGCCAUAUCUCAGUAGCACAGCAUGUGGUUUGCAUGAAUAACAUCCCAGUUUCAAUCUCUGACCACUCCAUGUAAAAGUGUCAGGUAACAGGUGAUGAGAAAGACCUAUCUCUGCCCAAGACCUUGGCAUAAACACUACUGGACUAUGGCUGUACACACCCUAUACCUUUAAAGCAUGUCUGAAGCAUAUUUACCACCCACAAAGAAUUAUGGGCAUUGUAGUUUGUUAAGGUUUGCUGGGAAUUUUAACUCUCUGAGGGAAAAAAUAAUGUGCACAUACUUUUUUUGAGUGUCAAUGUGCUUCAAAAGUGUGCACUGAAGGUAUAUAGUGUGUGCACAUGGCUACAAAGUUCACUGGGCAGCCUUGGAAGUCCCAGGCUGUGUACACACCAUACAUUUAAAGCACAUGACUUUACCCAAAUAAUUUUGGGAAAGGUAGCUACAAUUCUCAACACCCUUAACUACAGUUCCCAGGAUGCUCUGGAUAAAGUCAUGUGUCUGGGUUUGGGCACUGGGCGGGUCGAGGUUUUCUUUUAAACCCCCAGGAACAAACAACCAAAUCCUAUGCACACUUUCCUGGGGGUAAGCUCCUCUGAAUCAUAGGUCCUUUUUCACCCAAGUAAAAAUUCUCAUUUGCAAGGUCCUCAAACUGCAGUUAAUUUGCAAAGUACUGGGGCUUUCGUUCCAAUUGGAAUCAAAGCAUUUUAGGGUUGGAACAGACUUUUGAAAUAAUCAAGUCCAAUUCGCUGCUCAGCAUGUGUUCGACAACAAUGAACAAAUACAUUUAAAAAGGAUGAAGAGGGUGCGCCUCAGAUUAGAGGAGGUGGUAGCUAUCAAUGUCCUUAUCAGGUUGCAUCAUGGGGUAAUCUGUGUGGACAUUUUCUGUUUCACCUCAGGCAGAAAAAUGUCUUGGGCUGGUCUGGGCUAUGGCUGUGGGUUCUCCAUUAUAAGGGAGCACAGGACACAAAUGGACUUCUCAGUAGACAUAUGUAAGAUUGUGCUGUUCACUGGAUUAUACAGUGGCAGGUAGAAAAGAGAUCUGAUGUUGCACCGAAGGCUAUUGGGGUAAAGUCAACACAGCUGCUCUCCCUUCUGAUUUUUUAUUUUAUUUUAAAGCUAGCAAUUAUUCAGGCCUGUCUAGAACUAGAACUCAGGUAAGGGAAAGGAUGCCUGACAGAUGGGGCCCUACCUUUCAAAUUUCCCAACUCCCUCUUCUAACCUGACAGGAGGCGCUAGGCCCAGAAAGGGUUGCUUAGCAACCAUGCUACUCUCUAGCAUGGGGAAAAUGGAUGUGGUAGGCCCAGAUGUGUAGCAGGGAGAACCCUUAGCCCCUGAAAUGCCAUCUCCAGAAGCAAACAGCUAUGGGUUUUCACAGAGAUAGAAAGAGGGGAUGACGACAAAUUAAAACAAUGAAAGGGGGGGGGGGGGAGGCAGCAGGAUAGUUUCUCAGAAAAAAAUUGAAAAGAAUAGAGCCUGUACAUUUUGCCUCCUAGCUCAAGUUCUAGAAAAUAUUCUUUUUAAAAAAGAAAGAAAGAAAGCCACCCCCAUAAUGGACGCCAAUGCAAGCAGCCCCUUUCUCCCUAGGCAACCUGUACCUGCUGCUAUUCCUCUCAAUGUUGCGGUCCCACCCCUUCAAACAAAUGCUUAAACGAGGAAGAACCAUGUAUUUAGCAAGCUGAGCAUCGCUUGCUUCUUUUUUUCACAUAGACGUGCCGCAGAGCUGUGUGCUCAGGGCUGGCAGUAAGAAGCUUUAACACACCAGGAUAAGCUCUGUUAAAAUGACAGGGUUUCCCCCUUACUCGGUUGUUUUCUAACUCCCUCCCUGCUGCCACCGCCGCACCAUGCCCAACAGUUCCCCUGCACUUUGUAUUCUGCUUUCAGCAUCAAAAUGCCUAACCGGGACUUAAAGCAGAUUUUUAAAUUAGUUCCUGACAGUGCAAACAGAUUGCUAUUGAUUGAAAUGAGCCUUAUUUUAGUUCUUUAGAUGAGCGGCCCUAAUGACUAAAUACUGUAUUGCCCAUUUCAACACUUUGUGCUGGGGCUCCCCAGUGGUUUCUUAGGCAGCUGCGAAUUCUCUGUGCCUUGCAGAUUACUAGGAACGAACAGGAGAGAGCCAUCUGUGACUUCAGAGCAUGUGGCAGAGGCUUUCAGGCUGAGCUAAGAACUUAACAAUGGAGAACACCACCCUCCUCAACCCCCCUGAAACAGGCACAUUGCUGGGUGCCAUUUUGAAAGCUCUGAACUCGCAUGUCCAAUGUCCAUUUUGGGGGCUAAUCCAGCCCGCCAGUUGGUUUAAUCCAGCCCCCGUGGCAGUUUAUUUCCUGGGUAAAAUCCUUUAAAAAAAAUCCCUCAACGACUUCAAUCCUAAAAAGAAGCUCAACAACUUUGGGGUAAAAUCCUAAAAAUAGCUCAACAACUUAAAUCUUAAAAAAACUUUGGUUGGCUCUUUAGUCGGCCCUCGCGGCCCUUCACUUCAUCAAAUCUGUCCCUCUUUGAAAAAAGUUUGGACACCACUGCAACCAAAUAGGACCAUACAUUUUCUUGAAUGAAACUCACAGGACUAACAAAUUUGCUAUGGCAUAACCUUUUGUGGGCUACUCGCCCAACUUCAUCAGAUGCAAUUUGCUAGUCUUUAAAGCAGGGGGUCACCAACAGAGUGCCUAUGGGAGCAAUGGGGCCCUUGAGGUCUUCCCCUGGAAUACACAAAGUCCCCGAGGUCUUGUCUCUGCCCCCUUGGUCAGGAGGGGCUUACAUAAGUUGUCUUUUCCUCUACUGAAAAGUACAUAGAGCUUUAGGAGGAAGUUAGAACAACACUAUUUCCCACUUCCUCUUUCCUCCAUUCCGCUUGCCUUUACAUUUAAGCUGAACUUCACUAGCUUAGCCAGGAGUUUCUUUCCUGCCGGGCUGCAUUUACAGUUCUAUAUGGGAUGCUUAACUGCAGGAGGAGCAGUCAAGGAGAAGCGAAAAGGGCAGAGAGGGUGCCAGCAGCAGCUGCAUGUUUCUCAAAUCAGGCAGUGUCUGAACUGGGAGGGAGAAAGCUAGUCUGAGAUUUGCCUCCACCGGCUUGCUUGCUGUUUUUAAAGGGUGCUUCUGGGUGAAAACCAACCAGGUGGAAAACCCGCUUUAAAAACAUGUAAGAAAAACCCCAUCGGCAAGCCUGAUGACGUUCUGCUGUAUAUAUAAAACAAGUGGGAUCUGCAACAAAAUGUUGCAGUGUGGAGUACUGUUUAUGUUAUAAUAAAGAGCAUUUUCAUAGACUAUCUUCAGCUUUCUUUAUCAGUGGUUGUAACCACCAUUUUCCACAUGCCCAAUGCCCCAGAAUGAGGCCUAGGUUUAGGACUGGCUGGUUCCCAUUGAGACUGGUAGGGCUGAAGGGAAAGAGAACAAGGUCACAAUUACAGCAUGCAUGUAAAAGGCAUUUAAACCACAUUGCUUUUCUCAAAGAAUCUUGGCUACUGUAGUUUGUUGAGGAUGGUGAGAACUGGAGCUCCGUGAGGCAGUAUACUACAGUUCCCAUGAUUCUUUGGAGGAAGCUAUGUGCUUUAAUAGUGUGUUAAUUGUACUUUAAAGGUAUGGCGUGGUGUUGGCAGAGCCAGUGGCAGGCAGAGCCAAUUAAUUUUAGUUUGGUCUCCAUCCUCUUCCCCAAUGAGUUCAAGAAGGGCAACGCUGAAACAAAGGGAGAUCUGCCUACCACCAGCUUGUGGCCCCUGGAAUGUUGCCCAGAAGGGAAUGUGGCCCCCACAGGCUAUGAGUGUAAAAAUAUUUCUGUGAGACAAAGGGCAUUUGCAAUCCCUCUUUCCUUCCUUUGCUCCUUUCUCCACCUCUUCCUAUUAAUUGUUUUUUAAAAUAUACUAAUUAAAAAAAUAAAAUAAAAUAAAAUAAAAUAAAAUAAAAAUAAAAAUAUCUCCCCUACCCCCACUCACCAGUUUCUAUACCGACAGAUAAGGUGGAGAAUUUCUGGAGGCUAUUUUAGCCCAGCUUUUCUCUCUUAUUAGGGACAGCAAGUGAGGAAACCUUUGCUGUUAGCAAUACAAAUGCUGCUGCUGCAGCCAUGGAACUAUCAAGCUGAUGACUGAGCACCAAGUUCCCCCUGCAAACAUCCCAGAUGAGCAGCUGUAAGUGAUGAAUGGCCUGCCACCCCCCUGGUGCUUUUCUCUCUUCACCUCCUUAGCUUUGAACAAACAUGUUAGUUCAAGCAAAGGCUGCUGGGGCAGCCCCCAUUGUGUAUGACUGGCAGGCUAGACUACUGCCAUCUCAGGAGUUUGUUAAAUGCAUUGUCAAAUUUUGAAUGCAUGGGGGAAACGGCUGGAGGCCUCGAGCAGGGAGGGGAGAGGGGGAACAGCCCAAAUCGGUAUGCCUCUCACAUUCUCCAGCACUCCUUGCCUCUCUCUCUCUCUCUUUGCAGCUCUAAAUUCGCUGCCAGGCACCACACAGGAGAAAGCCGAAUCACAGAAAGCAUACGAAAAUUGUAUUUGUAAACCACACCACACACACGCUCACAUCUGUCGGGGCGUUGCAGUUGCACCCAGCAGCGCAGAUACUGCUUUGAGCAGGUUGUUGGACUCAACAGCUUCUAAGUAGGGAUGGGCAAACCUGUCAGGUUUGGUUUCUCUGUUUAUUAUUUUUCCAUUCUUAAGUUUGGAUUCCCCACACUGCCAC